rnacentral:rRNA from 1 species
UACGUAGGGGGCUAGCGUUGUCCGGAUUUAUUGGGCGUAAAGAGCGUGUAGGCGGCCAGGUAGGUCUGCUGUGAAAACUCGAGGCUCAACCUCGAGACGUCGGCGGAAACCGUCUGGCUAGAGUCCGGAAGAGGAGAGUGGAAUUCCUGGUGUAGCGGUGAAAUGCGCAGAUAUCAGGAGGAACACCGGUGGCGAAGGCGGGUCUCUGGGCCGAUACUGACGCUGAGGAGCGAAAGCGUGGGGAGCGAACAGG